AUUGAACGCUGGCGGCAUGCCUUACACAUGCAAGUCGAACGGCAGCACGGGAGCAAUCCUGGUGGCGAGUGGCGAACGGGUGAGUAAAGUAUCGGAACGUGCCCAGUCGUGGGGGAUAACGUAGCGAAAGUUACGCUAAUACCGCAUACGAUCUAUGGAUGAAAGCGGGGGAUCGCAAGACCUCGCGCGAUUGGAGCGGCCGAUAUCAGAUUAGGUAGUUGGUGGGGUAAAGGCUCACCAAGCCGACGAUCUGUAGCUGGUCUGAGAGGACGACCAGCCACACUGGGACUGAGACACGGCCCAGACUCCUACGGGAGGCAGCAGUGGGGAAUUUUGGACAAUGGGCGAAAGCCUGAUCCAGCAAUGCCGCGUGCAGGAUGAAGGCCUUCGGGUUGUAAACUGCUUUUGUACGGAACGAAACGGUGAGCUCUAAUACAGUUUGCUAAUGACGGUACCGUAAGAAUAAGCACCGGCUAACUACGUGCCAGCAGCCGCCGUAAGAC
rnacentral:rRNA from 1 species